AAAAACUUUGACAUGAAUUCCAUUCUUCUCAGGUAAAAAGGGCUCUUCACAAUCUAGUAGUCAGGAAUGAAUCCCUUCAAGUCCGUAUGUAUCUGAGUGUCAAACUACUGAUGGCAACGUGUGCUCAAGUACAUGUUCCCCCGACAUGGUCACUUAAUGUGCCUGUGAUUUUCCUAAGACCUGAAGGAGACCUACAAAAUGAACAGGGCAUGACAAUGACCUGAGUUCACAGGAAUCUCUGAAUUCAAGAGAUUGCUGUAGCUUUGCUAAGACUGCAUCAAAAGCCUUGUGUAGCAGGGUUUCCUAGUGAGUCACGCACUUGGCCAUGGAGUCUUGGUUUUUUAAACAUUAAGAAGUGCUUUAUGUUGUGCAAAUUCAGUGAAAGGCCAAAAUAGCCAACAGUACUAACGGUGCUCAGUCAAACCCAUAGUGAGCCACAGACCCCAUCAUCUUACAAAGAAACGAGGAGGCGAGAUACACAACUGGCCGACUUUGCUCCAGUUUGACAGUGACUACUGGGAAGCUGAGACCUUCCCUGCAGGACGCGCAGAGACGGUGCUGUAGUGGAGCCUAUGGGAGCCACUGGGAGUGAGGCUGGGUGUGACAGAGGCCACUUGUCCCCUCCAAGUACCUGCUCGGUGCCAGUCCAAGGUACAGAAAUCAGGCAGGGUAGUAGGUUUGCUUCUCAGUCAUUUUUCCAAAUUCUGAACCUCAACUUGUUUGCAAAUUACCCAGAGGUCACGUUUGACCCAGUCACUGAGCAGCACAGAGAAGGGCCGUCGGGGUCGCCCCACGCAAGGUACGUACACGCCGGGGUGUUAACACGGGCCGGGGAGUGACACUCGUCCACUCACCUCGGAUGACUGGUGCACCCUCUUCCACUUUGUGCCCCUCAGAUGAAAAUCACUGUGGUAACAAUUACAGCUGAGGAAAGCCCAGCGCCUCAGAGCCCCGACUUACUGUGCCUGUAUCACGAUGGUUUCUCAAGCACUUUUAAAAAUCCAAUGUUAGUGGCAUUCCAUCCCUUUGUGGAUAUAAACUGUUUGGCACACAAUGUCUGUACAUUGAAGACAGCUGUCAUACUCCCUACUCCAAAGACAUUAAUUUUCUAAUAAAGUAAGUGAAAUGUGCCCAUUAUGAAGCACUCCGUGUCAAGUCUAGAAAAACUUCAUUAGAAAACUGAACUACUGUUAUUUAUGUGAAAGCACGAGAAGAAACACUGAAGUAUGCCACAGUGUCUAUUCAUCUGAAGAGUACAAAGAUGGAGUUUGAGAA